rnacentral:snRNA from 1 species
GCCCCCAUCGUCUAGUGGUUCAGGA